rnacentral:rRNA from 1 species
AAGACCCCAUGGAGCUUUACUGUAGCUUGACAUUGGGUCUUGGUACUACAUGUACAGGAUAGGUGGGAGGCUUUGAAACCAGGACGCCAGUUUUGGCGGAGCUAUCCUUGGGAUACCACCCUUGUAGUACUGGGACUCUAACCAUAGGCCAUGAAUCUGGUCUUGGGACACUGUCAGGUGGGCAGUUUGACUGGGGCGGUCGCCU